rnacentral:RNase_P_RNA from 1 species
UCAGAUGGCCGGAUGACCGCUGUGGCUUGGCUCACAGAGGAAAGUCCGGGCUCCACGGAAGCACGGUGCCGGGUAACUCCCGGCGAGGGCGACCUCAGGGAAAGUGCCGCAGAAAGCAAACCGCCUGGGUUUUUAUUCAGGUAAGGGUGAAAGGGUGCGGUAAGAGCGCACCGCUGUCCUGGCAACAGGACGGGCAGGGUAAACCCCACCGGGAGCAAAACCAAAUAGGGAUGGUGGACGGCUUUUAUGUCGUCAGGUCAGUUUUCGGAUCGCCAUCCGGGUUGGUUGCACGAGGCGGUCGGCGACGGGCGUCCCAGAUGAAUGGUCAUCGGUCGAAGUCUUCGGAUUUCGGGAUACAGAACCCGGCUUAUAGGCCAUCUGACCUU